UUUAUGGUGAAAAUGCCCAGAGCAACAAGGCAGCACAUCAUGAAGAAGAUUUGGGGCACUCUGCUGGGGCUUUUGUGUGCCCAGGUUUGCUGUGUGAGAGGGGUACGAGUGGAGCAGAGUCCUCCAACCCUGAGUCUCCAGGAGGGAGCCAGUUCCACACUGCGAUGCAAUUUUUCUACGUCUGUGGACAACGUGCAGUGGUUUCGCCAAAAUCCCGGGGAACGCCUCAUCAGCCUGUUCUACAUCCCCUCAGGGACAAAGCAGAAUGGAAGAUUAAGUUCCACAACAGUCACUACAGAGCGCCACAGCUCAUUGCACAUUUCCUCUGCCCAGACCACAGACUCAGCCACCUACCUCUGUGCUGUGGAGCCACAGUGCUCCCCAGGCACCUGCAGGCUGCACAUAAACCCUCCACUGAGCUCAGCUUCUCCCCCAGUCACAAGCACAUGA